CAUUGCGCUCUUGUGUUGUCGUUCCAAACCCAAAGCACAAGAGGUCUUCUCUAGACACCAUCCCUAAAUGGCCAGAGCGGUUGCAUGUUGCACCAGAACGUAUAUCUGAUGUUCAUGGUGGGAGUGCUAGUGCUUUGAAGCAUGAUGAUGGCAAAUGGAAGAAACGGUUGCAGCACUACAAGAAGUUGCUUCCAGCACUUGGGACAGAUAAGAUCAGAAAUGUUAUGGACAUGAAUACCGUGUAUGGAGGGCUUGCUGCAGCCUCAAUUGACGAUCCCUUGUGGGUCAUGAAUGUGGUUUCUUCCUACGCUACAAACACACUGCCUGUGGUCUAUGAUCGGGGUCUUAUUGGGACUUUCCAUGAUUGGUAAGUUUAAAUUGAUUUAUAAUCAUUGAGGCUUUGAUGUGCAUGAAUAGCAUACUUUUGAAUUCCCCUCAUUUGGCCAUCUAGUAGUCUUUUGUGUUGAUUUUAUGGUUUUCUGGUUCGCAGGUGCGAAGCUUUCUCUACAUAUCCCCGAACUUACGAUCUUCUACAUCUUGAUGGCCUGUUUACUGCAGAAAGCCACAGGUAACAGAUGGAUUAUCCAUGUCUAUUUUCUUUUAUGUAGUGUUGAGAUCUGUUGAUGAUUGAUUACUGUUAGCCUUCACUGAUGAUUCUAAUGGAUUGUACAUUGCACAGAUGCGAAAUGAAGUACGUGCUCCUGGAGAUGGACCGCAUCCUGCGCCCCAAUGGCUAUGCAAUAAUUAGAGAAUCCAGCUACUUUGUGGAUGCUGUUGCAACUAUUGCCAAGGGGAUGAGAUGGGGAUGUCGUAAAGAAGAUACAGAGUAUGGUAUUGAUAAGGAAAAAAUAUUGAUCUGCCAGAAAAAGCUCUGGUAUUCAUCUAACCAGAAUUCUAGAUGAUGAACAUAGAAAACCCAAAAACCAAGUCAAUCUCUUGGAGGGCCGGGAAAUAGGGAUAGAAGAAGCGGAAGAAGCAAGUGCAAUACCAUUCACAUUCACAGAGAAAUUUUACUUCAUUCUAUAAGAAGCCAUGGAUACUCG
rnacentral:lncRNA from 1 species